UGUUUUCUUAUAAACUCUUGUUCUUGUUUAUGGUGUACAAAAGAGUGAGAUGAGUGAUGGUAUUUAUAGUGAACAACAAUGCAUAAAAUAUCAAAGAUGGUGCUUGAUUUGGUAAAUGAGUGGGUGAUCAUAGUGCUUGAUGAGUAGAUGAUCAUAGUGCUUAAGUUGGUAAAGGGGUGGAGGAUCAUUUCAAAGUUUAUCUUAUAACACUCCCCCUUGAUCAUCCAUCUUGUAUUAAAUUAAGUUUCGUAAUACUCCCCUUGGGAACCGGUGUCACUCUCCGCUCUCGCUCAACGUCUUUGUUGCCUCGUUAAAAACCUUUCUAGGAAAACCCAAUGGGAAAAACCAUAGUUAGGUAAAAAGAGUACAACUACGUAAGCUCCCCCUCGAUUGAGCAAUCAUAGAUCCUUCUGAUGACGCAUUCCAAUGUUAUGGACAUGUUUUCUGAAUACCGAAGUAGGAAGUGCUUUUGUGAAGAGGUCGGCUGCAUUGUCGCAUGAUCGGACAUAUCUUACUUCAAUCUCUUUCUU
rnacentral:lncRNA from 1 species